AACACGAUCAUUAAGGUAUUUAUUACUUUAUCAGAAUCGAAAGCUCUGUGAAUGAAGAUGAUAAAGAAGAUCACCAUGAUCACGACCAUGAUCAUCACCAUGAUCACGACCAUGAUCAUGACCAUGAUCACAACCACCAUCAUCACGAUGAACAUGGUAAGGUUAUUAGGAAAUUUGGUUUAGUUAUACGGAUUGCGUACUCCAGCUUUACAAAUUACAAACAUGAAUAUUUGAUACUGGUCCCUCUCAUUACACAACCUAAUCAGUCUCUGUUUCUUAAACGGUAGAG
rnacentral:lncRNA from 1 species